AGUGAACGCUGGCGGUAGGCCUAACACAUGCAAGUCGAACGGCAGCACAGUAAGAGCUUGCUCUUACGGGUGGCGAGUGGCGGACGGGUGAGGAAUACAUCGGAAUCUACUUUUUCGUGGGGGAUAACGUAGGGAAACUUACGCUAAUACCGCAUACGACCUACGGGUGAAAGCAGGGGAUCUUCGGACCUUGCGCGGUUGAAUGAGCCGAUGUCGGAUUAGCUAGUUGGCGGGGUAAAGGCCCACCAAGGCGACGAUCCGUAGCUGGUCUGAGAGGAUGAUCAGCCACACUGGAACUGAGACACGGUCCAGACUCCUACGGGGGGCAGCAGUGGGGAAUAUUGGACAAUGGGCGCAAGCCUGAUCCAGCCAUGCCGCGUGGGUGAAGAAGGCCUUCGGGUUGUAAAGCCCUUUUGUUGGGAAAGAAAAGCAGCAGGUUAAUACCCCGCUGUUCUGACGGUACCCAAAGAAUAAGCACCGGCUAACUUCGUG
rnacentral:rRNA from 1 species